GCCCAGCUGACGAGUCCCAAAUAGGACGAAAGGCGCGUCUUGGAU
rfam:Schistosoma mansoni strain Puerto Rico chromosome 2, complete genome